rnacentral:rRNA from 1 species
AGCGGCAGCGCGGGGCAACCUGGCGGCGAGCGGCGAACGGGUGAGUAAUACAUCGGAACGUGCCCAGACGUGGGGGAUAACUACUCGAAAGAGUGGCUAAUACCGCAUACGAUCUGAGGAUGAAAGUGGGGGAUCGCAAGACCUCGCGCGUCUGGAGCGGCCGAUGGCAGAUUAGGUAGUUGGUGAGGUAAAGGCUUACCAAGCCUGCGAUCUGUAGCUGGUCUGAGAGGAUGAUCAGCCACACUGGGACUGAGACACGGCCCAGACUCCUACGGGAGGCAGCAGUGGGGAAUUUUGGACAAUGGGCGAAAGCCUGAUCCAGCCAUUCCGCGUGCAGGAUGAAGGCCCUCGGGUUGUAAACUGCUUUUGCACGGAACGAAAAAGCUCCGGCUAAUACCUGGAGUCCAUGACGGUACCGUAAGAAUAAGCACCGGCUAACUUCGUGCCAGCAGCCGCGGUAAUACGAAGGGUGCAAGCGUUACUCGGAAUUACUGGGCGUAAAGCGUGCGUAGGCGGUUGGUUAAGUCUGCUGUGAAAGCCCCGGGCUCAACCUGGGAACUGCAGUGGAUACUGGCCAGCUAGAGUGUGUCAGAGGAUGGUGGAAUUCCCGGUGUAGCGGUGAAAUGCGUAGAGAUCGGGAGGAACACCAGUGGCGAAGGCGGCCAUCUGGGACAACACUGACGCUGAGGCACGAAAGCGUGUGGAGCAAACAGGAUUAGAUACCCUGGUA